CAGACCCUCUGGAUCGGCUCUGAGGGACCCCCAAAAGUGAUGCCAGCAGCUGUGGCCACCCCAGCAUCCCUGAAAGCUUGGUUGGGUCUCUGUUUGUGGGUUGGGAUCCUGGAGCUGAGCACAGGGAGGGUGGGACAGCUCCCAGAGCCCCGGGCAUCCCAGGGAUUCCCUCUACAAAUCCCACCUGCAUCCCAGGGAUUCCCUCUACAAAUCCCACCUGCAUCCCAGGGAUUCCCUCUACAAAUCCCACCUGCAUCCCAGGGAUUCCCUCUACGAAUCCCACCUGCAUCCCAGGGAUUCCCUCUACAAAUCCCACCUGCAUCCCAGAGAUUCCCUUCAUCCCAAAGAUUCCCUCCACACAUCCCAGUGCAUCCCAGAGAUUCCUGUCACCUUCAUCCCAGAGAUUUCCUCCACCUGCAUCCCAAAGGUUCCUUUCAUCUGCAUCCCAAAGGUUCCCAUCAUUUACAUCCCAAAGAUUCCCGUCACCUCCAUCCCAAAAAUUCCUGUCACCUCCAUCUCAAAGAUCCCUGUAACCUCCAUCCCAAAGAUUCCCAUCACCUCCAUCCCAAAGAUUCCCAUCACCUCCAUCCCAAAGAUUCCCAUCACCUCCAUCCCAAAGAUUCCCAUCACCUCCAUCCCACAGGGAUGCACUCUCCCACCCCACACUCCCACCAGGAAAAUCCCAGUCCCUGUGUCCCAAAUCCCAGCAAUGCUCAGCAGGGAUGGACUCCUCACCCUUUUUUUUUAGGGGGGGUUUGGACACCCCAAAAAACCCCAAAAUUAAAAUUAAUCCCACUGAAAAAUUGGUUUCAAGGUGCUCCUCUUCCCAGGAGUGCCAGCAAACCCCAAAAUUAAAAAUAAUCCCAGUGCCAGAGCAGAAUUACUGUAUUCCCCCAGAAAUCCCCAAGAUUAAAAAUAACCCCACUGAAAAUGCAGUCUUCAUAUGCUCCCCUGCUCAGAGACCCCAGAAAACCCUGAAAUUUUAAAAUAAUCCCACUGAAAAAGCAGUUUUAACAUUGUCCCCUUCCCAGGGACCCCAGAAAACUCCAAACUUAAAAAUAAUCUUGCUGAAAUUUUGGUUUCAAAGUGUUCCCCUUCCCAGGAGUGCCAGCAAAUCCCAAAAUUAAAA
rnacentral:lncRNA from 1 species